rnacentral:rRNA from 1 species
UACGAAGGGGGCUAGCGUUGUUCGGAUUUACUGGGCGUAAAGCGCACGUAGGCGGAUUGCUAAGUCAGGGGUGAAAUCCUGGAGCUCAACUCCAGAACUGCCUUUGAUACUGGUGAUCUUGAGUCCGGGAGAGGUGAGUGGAACUGGCGAGUGUAGAGGUGAAAUUCGUAGAUAUUCGCAAGAACACCAGUGGCGAAGGCGGCUCACUGGCCCGGUACUGACGCUGAGGUGCGAAAGCGUGGGGAGCAA